UACGUAGGGAGCAAGCGUUGUCCGGAAUUAUUGGGCGUAAAGGGUGCGUAGGCGGCUUUGCAAGUCAGAUGUGAAAUCCCCGGGCUUAACUCGGGUAUUGCAUUUGAAACUGUAAAGCUUGAGUAAAGAAGAGGUAAGUGGAAUUCCUAGUGUAGCGGUGGAAUGCGUAGAUAUUAGGAGGAACACCAGUGGCGAAGGCGACUUACUGGUCUUUUACUGACGCUGAGGCACGAAAGCGUGGGGAGCAAACAGGAUUAGAUACCCUGGUAGUCCACGCUGUAAACGAUGGAUACUAGGUGUGGGGGAGAUACAACCUCUGUGCCGGAGCUAACGCAAUAAGUAUCCCGCCUGGGGAGUACGGUCGCAAGACUGAA
rnacentral:rRNA from 1 species